rnacentral:rRNA from 1 species
GAGUUUGAUCGUGGCUCAGGGUGAACGCUGGCGGCGUGCCUAACACAUGCAAGUCGAACGGAUCCAUAUUGAAACCUAGUGAUGUAUGGAUUAGUGGCGGACGGGUGAGUAACGCGUGGAUAACCUGCCGUAUACAGGGGGAUAACACUUAGAAAUAGGUGCUAAUACCGCAUAAGCGCACGGUUCCGCAUGGAACAGUGUGAAAAACUCCGGUGGUAUACGAUGGAUCCGCGUCUGAUUAGCCAGUUGGCGGGGUAACGGCCCACCAAAGCGACGAUCAGUAGCCGGCCUGAGAGGGUGAACGGCCACAUUGGGACUGAGACACGGCCCAAACUCCUACGGGAGGCAGCAGUGGGGAAGUAUUGCACAAGUGGGGGAAACCCUGAUGCAGCGACGCCGCGUGAGUGAGAAGUAUUUCGGUACGUAAAGCUCUAUCAGCAGGGAAGAAAAAAGUACCUUUGGACUUUGGACGGUACCUGACUAAGAAGCCCGGCUAACUACGUGCCAGCCGCCGCA